GGACAUUUGAAGUGCUGAAUACUACAAGGCCACAGGCAGAGUUGUGGGAAGCGCGAUUAACCUUUCUCAGCUGGUAUUCACAGUAGAAAUACAACUGAGCCAAUGAAAAGCUACAAACAAACCAAGACUGACAAGCAACCAAUGUGGAAAAGAAGACUAACUGUGCAAAUACAAAAAAAGAGAAACAAAUAAUAGUAGUCAACACAUAACUAAAUAAAUAAUCCCGAGAACAUGAGUUGGAGAGUCCUUGAAAGUCUGUAAGUUGUGGAAUCAGUUUAGUGUUGAGUUUCAGAGUGACCACAUCUUUUCAGCACAGGGGCUGAUGAGGAAGAGGACCAAUUUUCUCUGCUGUGCAACGGAAGUCUUCCACUUUGAAAACCAAAGCCCCGAAAAGUAAUGAAGAACUAAAACCACGUGUGUUUACCAUGCAUCUGUACUCCAAUCAAUUUACACUCAUCAUCCUUCAGUCGAAAAUCUGCCCAGUUUUGCUGGAUAAUCUUGUUAAGGGGAACAUUCAUAGCUAAAAUCAAUCUAGCUUCUUUUCCUCUUGGUUGCAGUCACAGGAAAGGAAGACCACCGAAGUGAGUCAGUUUUAAUUUAUUUAACAAUACAGUGCAGAGCAGGUCUUUUCAGCCCUUCGAGCCAUGCUACCCCAGUAACUCCACAACCACAGGACAAUUUACAGUGACUAAUUAAUCUACGUGGUGUUUCUUUGGACUGUGAGAGGAAACAGGAGCACCUGGGCAAGACCUACGCAUUCCACGAGGAGGAAAUACAGAGACUUCUUACAGAAUAGUGCCAGAAUUAUACUCUGAACUCUGAACUCCAAAACGUCUCAAGCUGUAACCGUGUUGCACUAAACACUACGCUACCCUGAUUUGAAGCCAGUAGUGGAAGCAAUCUUUCUGGAUGCAAUAGCGACUGAGAACGGGAUAUGAACCCUGAAUCGUCACCACGCUAGCCUCUCGAUGCUUUGAUUUGUGACUGGAAUUGUCCAUGGCAUCUAAUAAAAUUGAGUCUGU